GGGUCUCGCUAUUGUCAAGAUGGCGCCGACCACCGCACAUACAGAAGAGUCUCAAAAAACGUAUAAAUCCGAUGGCACCGCUGUUUCUUUACCGAAGCAUUCGUACUGGUUCGAUUUCUGGGUUUUCGUUGUCUUCGACAUCGCGUUCUUUUUCUUCAUGUAUUACAUAGUGCCGUAACUGAACGAUUCAUUCAGUUUGGAGGAUGAAGAGGCGACGCUGUGGAUCAACACUGAUGUCCAUAUGAUGUCAACGUCAUUCUGAUGCAACUUGAUCGAGGAGCCUUCUGAAAACUCCAGAACCACCCGAUUUCUGUGGGCCAUCUGCCAUCUUCUAGUCGGAAAGAUGACACCCAUAUCCCACAAGGAUGGAAGAGAUAUCUAUAUAAGUUCUACUUAUGAACUUAAUGUUACAUUUUUUUUGUAACAAAAGAUGCUUGGACUUGUUACGAUAUUAUGAACACACUAAUGCAGUUUCAAAUAAUUCCCAGAAGAGCUGACUCCUCUCUGACUGAUGACUAAUGCAUUACAGACCCUGGAAGUUUGUGAAUGAACAUAAUAAAUACAAACAAGAUUCUAAUAAGUCAAAUAAAAUGUAAGAUGACACCACUAGCUAAAUACAGAGGAGUUUGCACAUGGAUAAUAUUGAUAUGAUAUUAACAUCAAGUAUUUUGUUCCUUUCCUGUUAAUGUCAAUUGUUUUUGUAUUUAUCUUCAGUGUUGUGGCAGGAGUCGAAACCUCCAGAAACUAGACAAGAUUUUGUCCAAUACAUGUACUCAAUUCUGGUUUGAUCCCGCACACGAUGGAAAUGUCUGAUUCUUUGUGAGUUCUGCUGGUGCGAGACUAUUUUAAUUAAAAAAAGAGAAA